rnacentral:rRNA from 1 species
AUUGAACGCUGGCGGCAUGCCUUACACAUGCAAGUCGAACGGCAGCACGGGGGCAACCCUGGUGGCGAGUGGCGAACGGGUGAGUAAUACAUCGGAACGUGUCCUGUAGUGGGGGAUAGCCCGGCGAAAGCCGGAUUAAUACCGCAUACGCUCUACGGAGGAAAGGGGGGGAUCUUAGGACCUCCCGCUACAUGGGCGGCCGAUGGCAGAUUAGCUAGUUGGUGGGGUAAAGGCCUACCAAGGCGACGAUCUGUAGCUGGUCUGAGAGGACGACCAGCCACACUGGGACUGAGACACGGCCCAGACUCCUACGGGAGGCAGCAGUGGGGAAUUUUGGACAAUGGGGGCAACCCUGAUCCAGCAAUGCCGCGUGUGUGAAGAAGGCCUUCGGGUUGUAAAGCACUUUUGUCCGGAAAGAAAACGCCGUGGUUAAUACCCGUGGCGGAUGACGGUACCGGAAGAAUAAGCACCGGCUAACUACGUG